rnacentral:rRNA from 1 species
AGAUCGAACUAUAGAGUUUGAUCCUGGCUCAGAUUGAACGCUGGCGGAAUGCUUUACACAUGCAAGUCGAACGGUAGAGGGGGCAACCCCUCGAGAGUGGCGAACGGGUGAGUAAUAUAUCGGAACGUGCCCAGUCGUGGGGGAUAACGUAGCGAAAGUUACGCUAAUACCGCAUACGAUCUAAGGAUGAAAGCGGGGGAUCGCAAGACCUCGCGCGAUUGGAGCGGCCGAUAUCAGAUUAGGUAGUUGGUGGGGUAAAGGCUCACCAAGCCAACGAUCUGUAGCUGGUCUGAGAGGACGACCAGCCACACUGGAACUGAGACACGGUCCAGACUCCUACGGGAGGCAGCAGUGGGGAAUUUUGGACAAUGGACGCAAGUCUGAUCCAGCCAUUCCGCGUGCAGGAUGAAGGCCCUCGGGUUGUAAACUGCUUUUGUACGGAACGAAAAGGUCUCUCUUAAUACGGGGGGCUCAUGACGGUACCGUAAGAAUAAGCACCGGCUAACUACGUGCCAGCAGCCGCGGUAAUACGUAGGGUGCAAGCGUUAAUCGGAAUUACUGGGCGUAAAGCGUGCGCAGGCGGUUAUAUAAGACAGAUGUGAAAUCCCCGGGCUCAACCUGGGAACUGCAUUUGUGACUGUAUAGCUAGAGUACGGUAGAGGGGGAUGGAAUUCCGCGUGUAGCAGUGAAAUGCGUAGAUAUGCGGAGGAACACCGAUGGCGAAGGCAAUCCCCUGGACCUGUACUGACGCUCAUGCACGAAAGCGUGGGGAGCAAACAGGAUUA